rnacentral:misc_RNA from 1 species
GGUUUGUGUUUAUGGACUACUGAAAUUGCAAAAGUUGACGUUUACCUUGUGUCAUAGUUAUAGUGAGCAUGUCUACACAAAGUAAAAUUGCUGAGACAUGGCGGAGAGACGCGAUGAUAGGAGUUACACGUAUGACCCUGUGUACCGCCAUCUUCUGAGGGCCAGGGAGCUAAGUCAACUUAACGACGUCCCUCAGGACCUGAAGGCUGAAAUCAACAGGGCUGUUGAGUUGUUACAGCAAAGAUGCCUAUAUUGUGAAGACCAAUCAACAAAGCCUAGUCCGGCCCUUGACCAUCUGAUUAAGGAGACCUUCGCUUAUCCGUGGGAAGAUGCUCACAAAGAAGGCAGGGUGUCAUACUACGCGACUCCCAGGAUGUUGACAGGGAAUGAUGAAGUUAAUAAAACUGAUAACAAGUGCCAGCAAGGCUAACAUGGUCCUUGAAAUUGGACUUUACACUGGUUGUUCCUCACUUGCGAUGGCGGAAGCGCUUCCUAAAGACGGCAAAGUGGUCUCUUUGGAAAUUGAGAAAGGCAUCGCGGAUGUGGCAAGAUCUUUUCUAGAUAGAUCACCAGUAGGGAAUAAAAUCGAAAUUAUGAUAGGACCAGCUUUAAACAGCUUGGAAAUCUUGGCGGAGAAACGAAUGAAAUUUGAUGUUAUUUACAUCGAUGCCGAUAAAAAAGGAUAUGUUCAAUAUUACAAGACGAUUUUUGAGAAAGAUCUGCUCGCUUCGGAGGGAACGAUCAUUGUGGAUAAUGUUUUGAAAAGUGGAGACCCCUACUCGGGAGAGAAGUAUGAAUCGAACUCGGAUGCGAUAGUGGAAUUCAACGACAUGGUUCUCCGCGAUAAAAAUGUCCACAAGGUACGUUAGACCCACUGCACAGAGCCAGAACGUGGCUUAAGGGAGCUGGAUGGUCUUGGCCAUUUUCAGACAGUUUUAAUCUCCUUUAAAGAAGAGUUCUGUAUGAAGAUAAAAGGAAAACCUUCAAAUUUUAAAGUUAAAAAUAUAUAGAACAUUUCUUUACUAAAUUUUACUUUAUAGCUAAAGAUAUCAUUUUUGAAAAAUUUAAGAUAGUAUAUUAUUGACCACCCAGCCUCCUUAAUCUAGCUUUUGAUGCAAACUUUUGAACAACCCCCCAACUCCUCUUCCCUCCCUCUUUUUGGUCAACAUUUAGUCGACCGUAUUCUAAUCCUAAUGCGCGUUCAGGUAUAUGAUUUUUUAAAUAAAUGUUAUUUCGAAAUUCAUGAAUAUUGAACCGCUGUUGCACAAAUAUAAUUUACAUAGAUAUUGUGCACUUUUUGAUCAUAAAUUAAAUUGCUGCUUUAUCCAACUUCAUACCUGAAAUGACCCCCCCCCAAAGCCUCCUUUAUCUAGCUUUUGAGGCAAACUUUUGAACAACCCCCCCCUACCCCAUUUUAGUCAACAUUUAGUUGAAUGUAUUCUAAUCCCAAUGCGCGUGUAGGUUUAUGAUUUUUUAAAUGAAUGAUAUUGCAGAAAUUGAGAUACGCACGCUGAAAGGAAGACAAUUCGUGCUCAUUUUAUUUUGGCCUUCACAAUGGCCGAGUUUUUAAAGAUUUUGUUUGCUUGAGUUUGAUUUUCAUCAUUUAAUAAAGAAAAAGCAGUGGUUGUAUAUUGUUUUAACCCUCAGAAGUUUUAAAGUAUUUAAGUUGCAUAAUGACAUUAUGAGCCUGUGUUACUUUAGGUUAUGAUUCCCGUGAGAGAUGGAGUAUACCUCAUCAGAAGAAUGGAGGACACGGAUAAAGCCUAAUCACGCUGUACUGAUUUAUAUACAUGUAGCAAUGUUAAUAAAUGAUAGCGAAUUCCU